GGCGGAAGCAAACGAGAGAAGUAAAGAAAUGGCGAGAAGUAAUAGUUGUGUGUUUCCAAGAGAUCUGCUUCAGAGAUUUAUCUCUAACUCUGUUGAAGGUGAAGAUGAUGAUGAAGAAGAAGAUGAUGAUGAGAUCGAGUUAAAUCUUGGCUUAUCUCUUGGUGGAAGAUUUGGUGUUGAUAAGAGUAAUAAGCUUGUGAGAUCUUCUUCCGUUGUUGUAACGAUGCCUCUGUUUCGUGAAGAUCAUCAUCAUCAUCAAGCGGCG
rnacentral:lncRNA from 1 species